rfam:Camelus ferus unplaced genomic scaffold scaffold112, whole genome shotgun sequence.
GAGGGUAUAGCUCAGUGGUAGAGUGCAUGCUUAGCACGCAUGGGGUCCUGGGUUCAGUCCCCAGUACCUCCA